UGCGAGGGUAGUCGUCUGGUAGAUGACGCCGGCCUCAUAAGCCGCGCUCUUAGAGGUUCGAUUCCUCCCUUCGCAACCA
rnacentral:tRNA from 1 species